CAGGUCCUUACUGAGAACAGGCUGCGAGACAUAUGCUAACCCUUCCCAUUUCUGUAGCUGUUGAAGCAGUAACAGGUAUUUCUAGGUACUCUUUUGAGAGCCUUUAUAUAGAUAAAUCUUAUGUAGCUACGAUUUACUCCGCUAUUUAAAGGCAUCAAUGAACAGGCCCAGCAGUGCUCCUGGAAAGACAAUUAAUACAGCUGGACGCUGCCCCAGGCAUAGACAGUCCCAAAGGAUAGUUUACAAAAUUAGUAUUUUUCAUUUGAUUCACUGUUGUUAUUGGCCAAAAGACAUAAAAAAAUGUUUGGGGCGUAAUAUUUGCCUGUGAAAAAUGUUUAGCAAUAUGCUCAGCAAAAGAUACCAUCUCGGUGAAAGAAUGCUGAAGUAACAAGAUGAGUUUCUGACAGGACUAUCAAAGACAAGCGGCCAAGUCACUUAAUGUCUGUAUUCCACAGUUUUCCCACUUGCAAAAGUGGGCCAGUAAUGCUCAGCUCCAUGUUAAACGACUGGCAAUAAUGGGGAUAAUAAUAAAUUGUGCUUUUCAAAGUGCUUUGAGAUCUGCAGAUGAAAAGGACCAGCGAUGCUAUAAGGGUGUUUAAUGUUAUUUUACCGAUUCCAGUUAAGCAAACUUGGCCCAGGUGAUUGUUAACGACAUCAGUCAAAUUCAGUACCCUGUUGUCAUUAGCCAGAUAUGUGCUCCGCGGACUGCAGCUCCAACGGGGCCACCUGGGAAACCCAUCAUGAAUAGCACGCAGAACCUCGCUCCCAAGCAGUGGAACAAACUCCAUCAUCCCCUGGGCAGGGCUUCGCAGCAGGAAUGUGCAAACACAGCUCCCCACUUUGGACCGCUUGUGCAUUCCCCUCUUCCGGUCGGGCAGAUGAGUUUGGAAGCCAAUGGGCUCCAUUCAUCCCUGACAUUCCUCUGGCAGAACACACUCUCCAGACCUCCAGGGGCAGAAAGUUUGCCAACAGUAAGGAUGUGGUGGAGUACGCUUCUGCAACCCCCCACUGUGCCAGGGGACUGGAGCAAGCUGGAGCAGCCCCAAUGGGUACGUCUACACUGCACACUAAGCCCAGGCUCUGACUCAGGUUUGAGCCCAAAUUCCCCUUCACACAAAUCAGUCCGACUCAGGGCAGCAGGUGCUCAGGACCAAGGACCCUGCUAAGGGAGUGGGUCAGAGCCUGAGUCCCGCCGAGUCUUGGGUCCAACACCUGUCAUUUUGCAGUGUGGAUGCAGAGCAAGCUGCAGACCUGAGUCCGAAACAAUGGUGUAGUGGGGCUGGCUCUCUGUGGAACCAUGUACUGGGACUAUUGCCUCAUGGCGCACGCCAUUUUGAGGUCGCACUGCAUGGAGGAUGCCAUUUUAGAACGUGCGAGGUCAUGCUGGCAGGGGCAUUCUGGUAAAUGCCCAUUCCGGACUACACCACUGGUCAGAAGGACUGCGCAGUGCAGUACAGACGUAUUAGCACUGCUGUGUCGGGCCGUGCGGACCAGGGUCCAGCAAUUGUAAACCCAGGUUUAUAAUGUAGUGUGGACGCUCAAGUGGCGGCUUGGAUACAUGGAGUCCCACAAGCCUGGGUCCCCAAGACCCGAGUUCGCAAUGUAUCCAAAGUAUCCAGAGUGGGCAGAGGUAUCCCAAGUGGGCAGAGCCAGCCCAGGAGAGGGUGUGGCCAGGCCUGUCAGGAGCUGUGUUGAUUCAGUGCCUUCCUUGGGCAGCCUCCACUCUCCUGUGGAACCCUGGGCUGAUAUUAUUUUAAAGCUCCCUUCUCUAGCGAAACAGCUGUGGGAGGCAGCUGUGGUGCCACCCUCCCCGCAGGGAGAAUCCGCCCCAGGGUCCAUGAGUUCCCUGGCUGCUCCCACAGGAGGAAACCCAGACAUUGUAGCUCCUGCGUCUGACUCCUGUGAUGGUCCUCCUGCCUGCCCUCACCUGUGCCACAGUAACAGAGACGUGCUGGGGGAGCUUUGCUCCUGCUGGCGGUUCCCUUCGACCUUUGGGAUCUCUGGGGUAACACGGCCUCCUGUGAUCUUGGCCACUUGUGGCUUUUAAGAAAUCCAGCACUGUUCUUGCAGGGAUGUUAGCCUGAGGCUCCUGGCUAGACUUCAGCUGGGGGAUUCCAAGGGGCCAAUGUCAUCUUUGGUAAAACUUCAUUGACCUCAGCAUAGUUACACCAAGGAUAAACUAUGCCAGCUUGUGCGCCAGGACUCAUGAAACUGGGCAGUCACUUACCUUAUAACCUGACUGUGGUCACAGGUCAUCUACCUACUCAAGCCAUAGCACCCCUUGGUAAGUCCUGUGUGACUUCUCAUCUCCAUCAGGAGUCAGGAUUGACAUGUACAACCUCCCGUAAGGUGGAAAGGUCACAUACUGAUGUGAUUGACUCCAUCUGCAGCAAUGUGUUGGGUGAAGCUAAUGUGGCUUGAAAGCAAUGUGUUCACGGAUUGAGCAAUAUGCGAUGGAUGCUUGUUUGGCUUCUUUCUCUGGCAACGCCCAUAAAAUGAACUUGUGACAAAGAA